rnacentral:rRNA from 1 species
GAACUGAAGAGUUUGAUCAUGGCUCAGAUUGAACGCUGGCGGCAGGCCUAACACAUGCAAGUCGAGCGGCAGCACGGGUACUUGUACCUGGUGGCGAGCGGCGGACGGGUGAGUAAUGCCUAGGAAUCUGCCUAGUAGUGGGGGAUAACGUCCGGAAACGGGCGCUAAUACCGCAUACGUCCUACGGGAGAAAGUGGGGGAUCUUCGGACCUCACGCUAUUAGAUGAGCCUAGGUCGGAUUAGCUAGUUGGUGAGGUAAUGGCUCACCAAGGCGACGAUCCGUAACUGGUCUGAGAGGAUGAUCAGUCACACUGGAACUGAGACACGGUCCAGACUCCUACGGAGGCAGCAGUGGGGAAUAUUGGACAAUGGGCGAAAGCCUGAUCCAGCCAUGCCGCGUGUGUGAAGAAGGUCUUCGGAUUGUAAAGCACUUUAAGUUGGGAGGAAGGGCAGUUACCUAAUACGUGAUUGUUUUGACGUUACCGACAGAAUAAGCACCGGCUAACUCUGUGCCAGCAGCCGCGGUAAUACAGAGGGUGCAAGCGUUAAUCGGAAUUACUGGGCGUAAAGCGCGCGUAGGUGGUUUGUUAAGUUGGAUGUGAAAGCCCCGGGCUCAACCUGGGAACUGCAUCCAAAACUGGCAAGCUAGAGUAUGGUAGAGGGUGGUGGAAUUUCCUGUGUAGCGGUGAAAUGCGUAGAUAUAGGAAGGAACACCAGUGGCGAAGGCGACCACCUGGACUGAUACUGACACUGAGGUGCGAAAGCGUGGGAGCAAACAGGAUUAGAUACCCUGGUAGUCCACGCCGUAAACGAUGUCAACUAGCCGUUGGGAGCCUUGAGCUCUUAGUGGCGCAGCUAACGCAUUAAGUUGACCGCCUGGGGAGUACGGCCGCAAGGUUAAAACUCAAAUGAAUUGACGGGGGCCCGCACAAGCGGUGGAGCAUGUGGUUUAAUUCGAAGCAACGCGAAGAACCUUACCAGGCCUUGACAUCCAAUGAACUUUCUAGAGAUAGAUUGGUGCCUUCGGGAACAUUGAGACAGGUGCUGCAUGGCUGUCGUCAGCUCGUGUCGUGAGAUGUUGGGUUAAGUCCCGUAACGAGCGCAACCCUUGUCCUUAGUUACCAGCACGUUAUGGUGGGCACUCUAAGGAGACUGCCGGUGACAAACCGGAGGAAGGUGGGGAUGACGUCAAGUCAUCAUGGCCCUUACGGCCUGGGCUACACACGUGCUACAAUGGUCGGUACAAAGGGUUGCCAAGCCGCGAGGUGGAGCUAAUCCCAUAAAACCGAUCGUAGUCCGGAUCGCAGUCUGCAACUCGACUGCGUGAAGUCGGAAUCGCUAGUAAUCGCGAAUCAGAAUGUCGCGGUGAAUACGUUCCCGGGCCUUGUACACACCGCCCGUCACACCAUGGGAGUGGGUUGCACCAGAAGUAGCUAGUCUAACCUUCGGGAGGACGGUUACCACGGUGUGAUUCAUGACUGGGGUGAAGUCGUAACAAGGUAGCCGUAGGGGAACCUGCGGCUGGAUCACCUCCUUA